ACGGCCGGAGGAACGGGGCUCUCUUCAAGGCAACGGGCGGGCUCUGCGCGAGGCUGACGAGGAAUUCCGUGACGGUUUAUCCAAAACAGGCGUCCGUCCGUACCUGAGGAGAACGCCUUAAAUAGAAAACCAAGAGAAGGGAGGGUUACGCUUUAUGCUUUCAUUGCAGCCUCCAACUACUUUGAUCGUCAAGGACUUUGAGCGGUAGUCAGGUGCUGAAAAUUAUCUCCAGGUGUUUAUAUUUACAGCUCACAAAGAGCCAUAUAAACUUUGUAUGUCCAUAAAUAUAAAUUGACUUGCGGUGGAUUUUAGCCUUUGUCUGCGGCAGAUGCUCAUUUAAGGAAUGGACUGGGCGAGCUGGACAGGCCAGCACGUCUGGGGUGACACUUGAGAAGAAACAGAAAGGCAAAAGGGUGAAGAAGAACCCAAAACCUAUGUGCCAGCAAGGCUUAAAGCACGCUGGCUUCAGGGAAAUUGGGGAACUGAAGAUGCCUAGGAGAGGGAGAGUGGGAGAGGGAAGAGGUGAUGGGUCCAGAGAGCACAAGCUGUAGACACUUCAGGAGGUUUUGCCAGACCUGAGUCCGGAGGGGCAGAGAACGAAAGUGGGCUGUGGAACUAGGGCAGCAGGGAGGUUCGAUACGUGUUGCAUGUAGAGCAGAUUUUGCAUACAAGGUGUCGUGGUUUAACCCCAGCCAGCAACCAGGACACAAGGAUAUAGUGGAAUACAAAUGUUUGCACAGCUGUUAAUUCUAAGAACAGGUUAUUCAGCAUUUAUUCACUCCGAAGAAGUGGCUCGCUCUCUUGCCAUUCGGUCCUGCCUGUCACUGAGGUAAAAAAUAACUCACUGUGGCUUAUAACCGCAGAGCAUUCACGGAUACUCUUUUCACGCUUACUCACCCACUAAUACAGAAGAUUCUUUCGACAGUUGCAGGCCAUUCUCCGGGCUGACACAAAAACCUGAGGACCUGUCACAUAUUCAGUUGUGAAUCAUCUGAUGCUCCGAAACUACUCUAGUUAUCAACCCCAGAUGCUUAUAACUGAGGCACUCGACCUUUACUUUCCCUGGCUGGUUUGGCUAAGACCCCUGCAGACUGACGAGCAAGCAAGCAGCCUGCUGCUGUUAUUGAGGACGUGUGUGGUUUGGCAGGCUCCCACCGCCUCAGCCGAGCGCUUCAGUGAGGGAGGGCUGCUGCUGAACCACCGAUAGCCUAGUUGAGCAUUUGUACUGACCGUUCAGGUCAAUCUUGGGGGCAGCGGGUUCGUCCUCAUACCGGAGCAGAAUGCAGCGUACAGACCGAGCGUAAGAGGGACGCUUGUCCCACCCACGCUCAGCUGCCGGCUCUCCUUUCUUGUGCCUCACCAGCUUGAGGCACGUGGGCCUCUGCGAAGGCUGAGCAUCUGCACCAGGAAGCUCUUAAGAGGCCAGAACUGAAACAAGACCAUGCAGCUACAUCAUCAGCCAGAGGCCUCCACUGCUUCUACUGAUAGGUCCGUUCUCGACCAAAGAGGAGAAGAAAGAAGCACACGGAGCGAUCACCUGUGACUUGUGAAGCGGUGAGUCAUCUUGACAUGGGCUUGACAGAGCUACUCGACUCGGUUUCCUGUUGAGCAGCAUCCUGUGCAGUUGUCUCGUGGCUGCAGCUGGUGGAGCCGAGCACCUUCCAUCAAAGGCACGUAUAACAUUUGGACUGCUCAAAAUGGUUUCUUUUCCUUAUCCGUAUCAGUUUAACAGCUUUUCUUCCCAGCAUUGCCUGCUGUAGUGCUGAAGGUGUUGUAGGAAGAGGUGCUGUCCUCCUUGGUGGACCAAGGCAAGGGAAGGAUGUUGUGUGAGAAGUGCACUAAGAGACCGGCAUCGGGUAGUGGCUCUGCAGAGAGAUCAGACCAUCUCACGGUAUGACGAGUAUGUGCUAAAAAGGAAACCCGUAUGUCAUUGAUUUAUGUGAGCAUUGUAAUAUUGUCAGCGCUUUCCUUCGCCAUAUUCUUUAUGUGUCCUAUAAGCCUACUUGCGGUUUUGAUAGCAGAUCUACAUUGGCAGUAUGUCAUCACUGAACCGUCCAUCAGGCAGCAAAGUCCUUUUUGUGCAUUGAUACAUUUAUCAUUUAGAACUAUAUAAAUUUUUUUUUCAGGCACAAUAGUGGAUUAACUUCCUUUUUUUUUGACAUAAAAUGUCACUUGUCAUUGUAAGGUCAAUUCACGUGUCUUGUGUAGGCAUCUGCAUUUCUUCACUAUCUGUUGAAGUCCUUGAUCACCUAAAUAAUCCAGGGUAGCCUGAAAUUUUGCUGUGUCAGUACUCUCUUCCAGCUCAGAUAAUAUUACAUUAGUAUUAAUAUUAAAUACUUUAGCAACAUAACCAAAUUAGGUCUGGUGGUGGAUUAGACAUAUAUGAAACUGAAAGUAAUCCUUAUGACAUAAAUAUUCAAAAUGAGAGUGAGAUGGGGAAAAAUAAUUUGUGUGCAUGGCAUGUAUGAGUACUACUUGACCUAUUUCUGUUUAAAAUACUUGUGUUCAAUGAGAAUGGCUGAUGAGGUAGGGAAAAGAUGCUAUUGGUGGUUUGGAAACCAGGCAUAACUAUAAAACUAGAAUAUCUGUUUCUUUCACACUGAGGUCCUAGGCAAGAUUCUGUCUGGUAAAUACUUAGAGCAACAGGUAUCUCUCCCAGGAAGAGCUUGCAGUCUAAAUAGAAAAGGUCUGCAUAAGGCCAAAGAGAGAAAGGAUUGUUAUCCACAUUUUACGGCUGAGAAUCAAUGUGCAGAGGGCUACGGUCCUCAUGGCUACAUAGGAAUCUACAGGCAGGAGAAAGAAAGGGAAAGACCCAGUCUUGUGUGUCAUUCUUCCUGUCACGAGAUAAAUUUCAAUAAACAGAUGUCUCAAUGAAAAGGAAACCAUAGAACAAGUUGCUCAAAGUAGAUUUGUUAUUGAAGGACUGCAAUCUCCUAGUCUGCAAGUCGUUUGAAUACUUUUUCCUCUCUUAGUAUAAAAAUGCAGUUUAAUGAUAUUUAAAUUUCUUGGCUUGGGAUGUUAAACAAACACUUCCCUACUGUUAAUAUCCUGUCCUUAAUUAAAUUCCUGUCCUUAAUUUUUUUGAGUAUUCUAAAGCAAUCCAAGAGACUAUGUUAGACAGCAAGUAAGAAAUGUAACUAAAUGACAACAAACUGUUCUUCCAUCUCUUUCUUACGUACCAACUUAGACCCACAGAGAAUGAGGUGGAAAGCAAACUGUACCAGAAUAUGGAUGAUUUCUUUAAAUGUGGCACUCCUCAGGCGCAUAGGAACAUCCGUGCAGUGCAGUCGGAAGGACUGGUCUCCAGCAAGCCUGGAGUUAACACCAGCCCUCUGUCCAGCUCCUCUGGAGCCAGCGGAGCCAACUGCAUCACAUACAUCUUUAUGGUCUGCAGGAGAAAAGCUCCUGAGAUAAAUACUACCCUGUAAGGUCUAGGAGAGGGCUGAGAAAUGUUUGGCAGUCAACUGCCUGGUGCAGAAUAGUAUCUCUUCAUUGUAAGGACAGAGUAAUACCCUUUUUUGUUUGCUGUUUUCUUAACUAAAAAAAAACAAAAAUGAAAAAGAGGGGGAAGGGAUCAAGAAGGACAAGGCACAGGGCAGUGUGGAGCAUGUGCUUGGAGGGGACUCCGCUUUGUCCUUCCUUCUCUCAGUGCCAGUGUUUGUGGGGUGUGCUGUGGGGUAUGGUGGAAAGGGGCAGCAACUCCCCACUCUGUAGGUGACGUGGGCCAAGGCGAUAGUGUGUAGUUGUGACCCACGACUCUCACCGUGUGGGGUGACGGGGAGAUCACCGUGAAGGUGCAGAUGGGGAUGGAGGCAUGGGUUGUGGGACUAGCACGGCAGCUCCUGUGGUUGUAGUGAGGUUGUGGUGGUGACGGUAACUCUCCUGCUUCUGCUUCUGCUCAUGCAGGGAGGAAGGUAGGUACCGGGAAAUGAGCUUUCUAGGAGCAGGAGUGCAUGCUCCUGCUACUGGAGCACCCAGCUGAAUUGCCACCUACUGAAUAGCAGAAAGUGUGGGGGGCCAGUCCUUCUUCAUUUCCUGGCCACUCUCUCUACUGUUUAUUUCCAUCCAUACGGGUGGUUUUUCCAUCCGUAACAAAAAUAAAUGCUGCCUCCUGCCUCAAAAAUGAGGUAAGAGCAAGAAAAAAAGAGAGCAUGGAGAGAAACAAUUGAUUGCAGAAGAAAAACCAUAAAAACAAAGUGAGGGCAAGGACCGCAGGGUUAAAAAUAAGGAACUAGAGGAGAACACCAAGCAGAGCACUCCUCACUGCACCUUUUGGUCCUUGAAAGCACCCUAAGAGCCAGCAGACAUUGUCCACUGAUGCUCCCCCAGAGACAUAAUAGGGUGAGAGAACAGAAACAGGCCCCACUUUUGUCAGGACCCCACAACAACCUUCCUCCUGAUAGAAGGCCAGCUUGUGCAGGACAGGAGGAGCUCAGAGCCAUACUCAUUUCUGCACAGAUUUCCAAGUGCUAAUGGUAAUGAAUGAUGCCAUUUUCUGCCAGGGGCCAGAAGGGGCAAGCCAGCUCCUAGCACAAGUGACCCAGGUCUUCAUCACCUGUGGAGCUGCUCAGCAUAAUCUUUUCUUAAGUGCUGAUGUUCUCAACUACAUUUACUCCAAGCAGCACUCUGUGCUGGCUUCUUCUCAGGAGACCUACAUGGCUCUGAGAGUUUUCCUUUUUUCUAGUGCCCUGCCAUUUCAGCGCGGCACUCUGCAUCAGACUAGAAGCUAUCAGCUUUGAAAAGCCUCUCUGAAGCAGCAGAAGGCUCUGCCAGAAGACGUUAUAUUCUGGACAGUGGUUGUGGAAAGGUUGAUCUGCAAUGUAGAGAUGUGGGGCUUGCCCUCCUACCUGCUAUAUGAGGCAUUUGAGUGCCAGCAAUCCACAGAAUGGAGGUUGCUGACAUUUCCUAUCCUGAAUGAGCAUAACCCAGGUUUAAAACCAGAGCAAAAGCCUCCAUGCAUAAAGGUGCAAAGAAAAGACUGUCACUGUUGACAGUAAAUACCAAUACCACACAGGUUAUACAUUUUGAAAUGCAGUGCCUGUACCUUUUACCCUGGCAAACCCCGAACUAUGCUGCUGCAAUUUUGGGGGUCAUUUCUAUAUUCUGAGGCAUUCUGACACAGUAUUUCUUAAUGAGGAGUGGUCCUAUAAUGUAUUUCCAGUACCAAACAACCAUGGAAUUGCCACUGUAAAUGUCACUUUCCCAUUACAUUAGGGCUCAUGCAUGAGGAAAAAUGUUCUUUUCUGCCACUGUGAAGACACAGCUUCAAAGAGAUUUUGAGGAGCUGGUAUUUGAGAGCUGGGCCAUGAAGAGAGCUACACACACUAUUCUAGCAGCAUGCAUGGCAUUGUUCUUGGAGUACAGUUGUUGCUGUUAUUGGUUGUUGCUAUACAAUUGAUUGUUGCCAUACUAUUGAUUGAUAUUAUACUAUUGAAUGCUGAUACUAAUUUGUAAUAGCUUGAGAGAUAUAAAUAUUCGCUUUCUUAACCAUAGGUAUACUUGCUGGAGGUGGUUUUUUGUGGUAGUUUACUUGCUAGUGGUGAUUUGUGUGGCAUUUGUGGUAAUCUGUAAUAAAGCAAAGAAAUUUAAA